UUCAGGGGGCCAGUUUAAGGAGAAGGGAGGAAGACACAUUCUGCCGCAAGGCAGAGUCUUUUCUUCUUAACCAUUCUACACAUUCCCACAACAAAAACACAAUUCCAUGCACCUUUAUUUCCCUUUCCUUGUCGUGACCUCCAUCCAACCUAAACACAUUCAGCCAUUCCUCCAUACAAACAAACUUUCAAACACUCACC
rnacentral:lncRNA from 1 species